CCGAAAAUGUCGGUUUAAAUCCCUCCUAUACUA
rnacentral:tRNA from 1 species